rnacentral:pre_miRNA from 15 species
UCCUUUGUUCUCUUUUUAUAAGUAAGAAGUAAGAGCGCUUGUAGUGAGUUGUCAAAAAUUGAGUAUGACAACCACUGCAAUUUCUCUAUUACAUUUUUGGAUGGGCAAAAUUGUAUCAAG